GAUGAAGAACGCAGCGAAAUGCGAUAAGUAGUGUGAAUUGCAGAAUUCAGUGAAUCAUCGAAUCUUUGAACGCACAUUGCGCCCCUUGGUAUUCCAUGGGGCAUGCCUGUUCGAGCGUCAUUUGUACCUUCAAGCUCAGCUUGGUGUUGGGCCCCGCCGCCCCGGCGGGCCCUAAAGUCAGUGGCGGUGCCGUCCGGCUCCGAGCGUAGUAAUUCUUCUCGCUCUGGAGGUCCGGUCGUGUGCUCGCCAGCAACCCCCAAUUUUUUUCAGGUUGACCUCGGAUCAGGUAGGGAUACCCGCUGAACUUAAGCAUAUCAAUAAGCGGAGGA
rnacentral:misc_RNA from 1 species